AUGUGGAAGAAAAGGCGAGAGCAAAGGACACACGUGCUCGAGGUAUUGAGGGAGGAUCUAGUGCCAAUGUGGUAUAGAAGCAGAAGUUCCAGCCCCACAAGUUCAAGAACAAGGGCAAGUUUGAUGGUAAAGCAAAGUGUGAUGGGAAGAACAAGGUUGUCCAGCACAAAAACUUCAAGAAGAAGAAUGACAAGAAGAAAGGUGUCUGUCAUGUGUGUGGGGAUCCUGAUCAUUGGGCACCUAGUUGCCCUAAUCGCUAUGACAAGUGUCACCCCGGGAAAGGCGGCAAGACCGCUAAUGUUGUCAUUGGAGACACUGACAUGA
rnacentral:rRNA from 1 species